GAUGUGAAAGACCUUCGGCUCAACCCGAAGAAGUAGCAUCGGAAACUAGGGAAACGUUAGAGUGCAGAAGAGGACAGUGGAACGUCCAUGUGUAGCGGUGAAAUAGCGUAGAUAUAUGGAAGAACACCAGUGGCGAAGGCGGCUGUCUGGUCUGUAACUGACGCUGAGGCUCGAAAGUAUGGGGUAGCAAACAGGAUUAGAUACCCUGGUAG
rnacentral:rRNA from 1 species